rnacentral:misc_RNA from 1 species
GAUGAAGAACGCAGCGAAAUGCGAUACGUAAUGUGAAUUGCAGAAUUCAGUGAAUCAUCGAAUCUUUGAACGCACAUUGCGCCCCUUGGUAUUCCGAGGGGCAUGCCUGUUCGAGCGUCAUUAUCACCCUUCAAGCUCUGCUUGGUGUUGGGGCCUGCUGUUAGGCAGCCCUUAAAAUUAGUGGCAGUGACCAUUAGGCUCUAAGCGUAGUAAUUCUUCUCGCUAUAGCGUCUAGUGGUUCCGCGCCAAAACCCCCAAUUUUUUAUGAUUGACCUCGGAUCAGGUAGGGAUACCCGCUGAACUUAAGCAUAUCAAUAAGCGGAGGA